AUCAUCUGGGUCGAUCUUUCCAGAAAGAACGUCCUCAAUCCACUGCUCGAGCACAUCAGCUGUGGGCAUGUCAUCAUCGUCAUCCAUUUCCAUCCACACGCUGUCGGCCUGUCAAGGAUAGGCACACAAAUAUUUACAGUUUUUGCAAAGGAUGAGAACGUUUACUUACAUCCUCAACAUCAACCACACCAAUAUGUGGAGAAGAGAGGUCAAUGAGGAAGGUCUUCUCCCAGUAUGGCACCAGCUGAAAGAGAGACAGAGUGAAAAUGAUUCCUGCUGUUUUCCCACCUGCCCUGUUGCUGCCCUCAGUGUUUUCCCACUAUUCACAGUUGGAUUUAGCUACAUUGCAUACAGUACAUACCAGCUCUCUUUCCCUAGUCAUUUGCCAGAUCAGCUAGUAUACUACCCAGUCCUAGCGGUUUAGCCUUCAUUCCUGUUUCUUGCAUGCUUUGUUUGCCAUCUCUGACUGAUUAUCUUUUUGGGUUUGACACAUCCUUUAGAAGAAAAAAAUUGCAACAUUGUAAAUGAAAGAUGUACAAUAGCUGA